rnacentral:lncRNA from 1 species
GAAGGAUCUCUGAUUGGAGAUCCUUUUGUUGUGGAGUUUUUUUCCAGGGAGCCUUGAGCUUUGGAGAUGGAUGAGUACUUUCACAUUUGGAAUACUUUCCAUUGUGCUAGUCUUUUCUUCAUUACAUUUUCUGAAUUGUCAUUGUACUGCGUUGGUCUUUCUGUUUGUUAUGGUAUCCAAUUUAUGAGGUGAAAGUUAGCUUUUUAUAAUAAUGUCUUUCCCGUCCCACAGUAAGGCAAUAAAAACAUCAAGUCCAAAGGGAUGAAGAGAUUUGACCUAGUCUUUGAUUCCCCAGAGAUAUUAAAUUUCUCAGGUAAAGACAGCUCAGCUAGUACAGCUGUUCAUCUUCCCAGAGGACUGAGGAGUCGAGGCCUCCAUUUAUUUUUCAGCAGAUGGGUUUUACUGAAGAAUCGUGAUGAAGUACAGUCUCGUGAGUGCUGUCAGGAAAAGGAGCCAUGAAAUACCGUUUAAUAUCCAGAAGAGUCCCAGGAAUGAUGUUGAAGACCCAAUGAUGUUUAUUUUUGAGGGGCCAACAACAGCCUUCUGAGACUUUACGUAGGCUUAUUUUAGUCUGAUACAGUUCUCCAGGGCGGCUAUUGUGUUUUGAAAUGAAAUUGGGCUGUAUGAGAUUCCACCCCUUCUCCUUUUGUCUACUCAAAGCUAGCGAGCGUGGAGAAAUUGUGAGCCGUGAGAGACAGAACAUAAGGAACAUGUUGGCUUUGAAGCCCAGUUGUCCACAGGAGUUCCUGCACCUAUGGUACUGUUCGCCAUGUUUGUGCUGGUCCAUGUGCACGCUAUCCGGUCUUGCUCUGCUAAAAUGUGUUCUAACUGUAUGA